GUGCUUGCUUCAGCAGCACAUAUACCAAAAUUUGAACAAUACAGAGAAAAUUAGCAUGUCCCAUGCAAGAAUGACACACAAAUUCAUGAAGCAUUUCAUAUUUUU